CUGUUUUAAACCGAACGAUAGAGUGAUUGUGUCAUUGAACUCGCUCGUAAAAAUCAGUUCUUGCAGGUUCUCGAGAAGAAAAUCCAGAAGUCGAUCUUCGAAACCGUCUUGAAAAUUGAAGAAGGGGUCCAUCCAACGCAUCUGCAUCAAUGCGAGCUUCACGUGUAAGGUUGCAGCGUUGGCUCCCCUGGUAGAAUCGGUGCCUGAGCGCGCCGGCUGUUGGCCGGCGGAGGCUAUUCGAGUUACGGCCAGGACAAGAACCCAAAAGUGGGGGGAUUCAGUUCAAGAUUGAGAAGAAAACGCUCACUCAGAAACCACUACGUGCAGCAAGCUGAAUUCAUUGAGAAGCGCUCCAAGAGUUGUGGAAUGAAUUCAUGCAUAUUAAGUUGGAUGGUAAUCCUGUCCAAGAGUCGAGGUGACGGACGCUGGAGAUGUGGCGCUCCUGUUGACCAUGCGUGGACCUCCGAUGAGACUAGCCUGUAAGCACAAAAGCGUCAGUGCCGAGUCAGGGAGUGGUUCUCCGACGAUGACCCUCCGAUCAGAUCUCCGGUGAAAGCAGCAAGCAAGGAAAGAAACGAAAGUGGCAGCGUAACUGUAACUACAAUAGAAUGAGCAUACCAUUGUCGAACCUUGGGGUCCUUUAUAUAGGGCUCCCAGGGGUGCGCGUGCACGCUCCUCGAGACGUGCACGCAUCUCAAAGCUUUUCCUGAUAGGGCGUGUCAGAAAAGUGUACUUGAUACCAUACCUCAACAGCCCGAGCAUAUCCUGACAAGACAAUGGAAGCUUCCGUCGUACGAUUCUCUGCCUAAUCAUGCCGCCGACCAUGUUGUCUGUCUGCGGCACGGGUCUCGAGGAGGAUAUCAGUCGAUCCUGCCUUUGUCUGCUAGUGGGUCGAGUGGGUGGGCAGCUCGGCUAAUUCUACUAUCUAGGCCGAGCGGGGAGAGCGCUCGGCUACUUCCGCUGUUUGGGCCAAGCGGGUCGGCCGCUCGGCUAUUUCACUGUUUAGGCUUGUUGGGUCGUGUUUCUGUUUCGUUGGCUGUGAUAUGAUCUUUGGUCGAUCGGGAUACCCGUCUGGCACAUGUCCCACCUGUUAGCGCCUGCCUUAGUGAUACUGGGCCUUUGAGCGUCGGAAGCUUGGUGCGAGACCGAGCUGUAGUAACGUCGGACCAGCCAUUCCUUAGUCCGAUCGGCUGAUGGGACCGCCUGAUCGGACGCUAGCCUGGGGUCGUUGACUUCCUUGACUUUGACCCUCCAUGUGGCAUUGACCCCAUGCAGGGUGGGGCCCCACCUUACCACCGGAUCACUUGUCUGCCCCUUAAGUCUAGUCAAAGGAGACUGCAAGUCCGACUAACUGGACAAGUAGUCUGGAGAUCGGUUGGCCGAUCGGCCAUGAGGCUAGUUGGACCCCGGCCGGUCCGUACAGGACUAAUCUUCUGGGCUGCUCGGCGAUCUGAUUUUUUGCACUAAGGUUUCUCCUUCGGCGUCUUUGGAUGGGCACGAGCCGAGCGGUCAAAUGCUGACGUCACCCGAAUCUCCUUGAAAUUCGCACAAAUCCCCUCCAUUAAGGCCGAGCAUGAAAUCCAGUGCUCCGACGAUCCUGUGCUCCUUGACGGCGGUCCACUUCUCUCUGCGGCUCCCUUUCUUUUUCCUGUAAGCUUCUCCAAACCUUUCUAUUGGUGAUCUUCCACUGUUCUUCCGCCACGCCACUGUUCCGGCGUAUGUUCUGCGUUUUUCCUUUCGUCCGUUGCGCUUUUUGUUUUCCUGGACGAGUUUCUCUUGCAAUGGCCAGUUCAUCGUUGUCGUCGGACAUUGCUCCCGGACUCUGGUACACCACUAUAGAGACUAGGUUCGACGCAGGCGACGCUGCGAGCCUCAUAAAUGUUUUUGACCUUCCCUCUGAGUAAGAGAUAGUCCUGGCCUCCCCGUCUGAUCGGCCUCAUGACCCGUCGACCGACACUGUUUGUUUUUUCCGAGACCAAUUCACGGCCGGUCUUCGAUUCCCCAUCCAUCCUUUCAUAACUGAGGUCUGUAACUACUUCCGCGUCCCUUUAGCACAGCUCGUCCCCAAUUCCUUUCGCCUCUUGUGCGUCGUGGUUGUUUUGUUCAAAGUGCACAGUAUUCCCCUAACACCUCAGCUAUUCCAUUACUUUUAUUAUCCCAAACAAUCCGAGCUGGGCACCUACCUCUUCCAGCCUCGGGUCGGUUUUGUCUUUUUCAACAAAAUGACAUCUUCCAAUAAACAUUGGAAAAAUUACUUUUUCUAUAUGCGACUCCCCGAGCGGCCGUGCUUCCGCACCAAGUGGCAAGUCGGACAUCCGCCUCAACCGGACCUGAAAAGGUAUCGGGGCCCGCCAGACUACCUUCACACGGCUAACUUGCUGGUCGACCAAAAGUUCGACAUUCACAAGCUGCUGCCAGAGGGGGUGAUGUAUAUGUUCGGGUUGAGCCCCAUCCAAACGAAGCUCCUGAGCAGCCUAGGUACGAAAUUUCUCGAACUUCUUCUCUUAAGUCUAACUGAUUCUUUCUUUCUUUUGCAGUUGACAUAAUGAUGCGCGCUCGGGCAGCCGGUUUGAUGAAGUUGAAGAACGUCGAGAUAGAGGCGGCAGCGGCAAAGGAGAUGGCGAGCCUCGACCUAACUCCGGUCGGCUCUCAUGAGGACGAGAGCGAGGCAACGCCAACUGAAGGAAGAGGCGUCGCCGAUCGGACGCCCCACACUGAACUGACGGCGAACCCAGUCCCUUUUGAGACGCAGCCUGCCGCCCCGGCCGAAGGCUCGGGGUCCUCUGGCGAUGAAGUCCCCCCUCCGGGCGCAAGAGACGUCGCAUGACCACCCCGUCCCGUUCUGCUGCCUCGGCGGUGCGUUCUUCUGAGCGAGGAGUCACUUCCUCAAUGGUAGCUUCCGAGACAGUGGAAGCCAUUUCUUCCGAUUGAACCCCUUCGCUGGCCGAUCUGCCGUCGGACCCGAUUGCUGCCCAGCCGAUCGCGUCUCUCCCUCCAGCUCGACGAAGGAUCCUGCGAUCCAGCAUUCUUCUGGCCCCGACCUCCCAAGCUUCCGGCCAUGCGACUUCUUCCCAGUCAACACCAAUUGGUCGGCGCUCCGUAACAGCAAUCCUCUGCCUGCCGACCGAAGAUCUCCUUGAUCCGAGCGAGCAGUCGUCCUCUCCUGAACAUCAAAUCUUCUUCUGCGGGCGGCUCACUCAUAUUUGGGAGGAGGCCCAAGCGCGAGCGGCGAUGAUGCCUCCGGGGGCGCUCGUCAACAGUCAUUUGGAGAUGUCCACCGGAGUAUGUAUUUAAACUUUAGAAAUUAAUUUACCAAUUACCUCCGAUUGGCGCUUACACCCAUCUGGUCGCUUGAAGUACUGGGUGGAGAACGUGGCGAUGUGCAACUGCCUGACAUUUGUGGAGGAUGAGCUGAAGAAGCUCAAGAUUUCUGGGGGAGUCUCUUCCUCCCAGGGCCAUCCAUUGCCCCAUUGCAAGCUGAUCUGGAGAAGGCCAAUAAACUCCUGGAGGCCGAGCGGAAGAAGUCUGUCGAUCAGGCCAUCAUGCUUGGUCGGCUCGAGACUCAGGUGAAAACCUACGAUAAGAAGAUCGAGUAGGCUGUCAACAGGAAGAACCGAGCCAUAGCUGACCUGGAGUUGAAGAACCAGGAGGCUCGAAAGUUAGCCGAGAAGCUCAAGGAGGCGGAGAACUUGCUGAUCGUCGAACGGGACAAUCGUUCCUCUAGGGAGGCCGAUCUUCAAGGGCAAGUGAGGACCCUUGAAGGUGCUCUGGAGUCCUCCCGCGCUGCCUUGAAGACCUACCAGGACGUCAACCGAACCGCUUCGAUACCAUGAAGCAAGAAUACCUCCGCUCAGAGAAAUUUACUGACAAAGUUGUUAAUCGAGUCGUCCAGAGUUUCGAGCUUGCCAUAACUAGAACGUUCAACCAGUUGCAAGCGAACGGGCAUAUCUCCGGCUCUUUGAUUGAUGGCAUCAUCGACCGGGUUUAGCUGAACGACUCGAUGCCGGACGAAGUCUUCGACUAUCUCGAGUGAGGAGGGAUCUUGUAACCUUUGAAUGUUUGACUGUCGCUCGGCAGCUUUUGGUUUGUUAUCAAUGAAGUCAUUUUAUAGUUCUUCCUCAUAUGUUUGCUUGUCUAUCACAAAGCUUUUGACUAUUUAGCACCGAACGGGCGUCAUGCUCGCAUUUCAAUCAUUGAUAAAUCCAUCAAGGUCAUACCUUUGGGUUUUAAGGUCGUCGCUUGACCCUAGGGUUUAUAGUCGCCGCUCGACUCUAGGGUUUAAUGUCGUCGCUCGACAAUU